rnacentral:rRNA from 1 species
AUUGAACGCUGGCGGCAGGCCUAACACAUGCGAGUCGAGCGGAUGAAGGGAGCUUGCUCCUGGAUUCAGCGGCGGACGGGUGAGUAAUGCCUAGGAAUCUGCCUGGUAGUGGGGGAUAACGUCCGGAAACGGGCGCUAAUACCGCAUACGUCCUGAGGGAGAAAGUGGGGGAUCUUCGGACCUCACGCUAUCAGAUGAGCCUAGGUCGGAUUAGCUAGUUGGUGGGGUAAAGGCCUACCAAGGCGACGAUCCGUAACUGGUCUGAGAGGAUGAUCAGUCACACUGGAACUGAGACACGGUCCAGACUCCUACGGGAGGUAGCAGUGGGGAAUAUUGGACAAUGGGCGAAAGCCUGAUCCAGCCAUGCCGCGUGUGUGAAGAAGGUCUUCGGAUUGUAAAGCACUUUAAGUUGGGAGGAAGGGCAGUAAGUUAAUACCUUGCUGUUUUGACGUUACCAACAGAAUAAGCACCGGCUAACUUCGUG